rnacentral:lncRNA from 10 species
CGGAGACCUGAGACCCGGAGGCUGAGGCUGUAGGCUGUUAUCCUUGACAUCUGCAGCAGCCCUUCCAAGCUGUGGAGACCAGGUCAUCUGGAAUGCCCAUUUAUGUCAAUGGAAGAAAGAAAAAGGGGUCUCCUCCCAUCCUCACCACUGCAUUCUCCCACCAACCCUGCUCCUGUCCCACUUCCCACAACUCAGUUGUUGACAAUUUAACAGUGGGUUUCUGGAAACAGUGCUGCCUCCUUGAUGGUCUAACUAACUACCAGAGUUAUUCUAACAGCAGGAAUUUCAAGCCAGCAAACCAGACAUACAUAGGAGGCACAGCAAAAGACCCAAGGUGAGGGGCUUCCCUCACCUUCACCCUUGUUCUCACGUGGAGGUGGCGCAUGUCUAUGAGACACAGUACCCCACUCAGCGAUCCUCUGCAGUCCAGGAAAUUCUAGCACUUGCUUGGAAAACAAAUCAAGUGAAGCCUGUUGGCUUUUUGUGAGCUGCCUAUGGAGAAAUGCACAUGGCAAGGAACUGAGGGUUGCCUCCAGCAAACUGCUGGUGAGGGAGUGAGGCCUUCAGUCCAACAGCCUUUAAGGAACUGAAUCCUGCCAACAACCAUGUGAGUGGGCUUGGAGAUGGAUGCUACCACCAUCAAGCCUUCAGGAGUGAAUUUUUUUGUUCUUGAGACAGCGUCUCAUUCUGUUGCCCAGGAUGGAGUACAGUGGUGCCAUCUUCGCUCACUGCAGCCUUCGUCUCCCGGGUUCAAGCAAUUCUCCUGUCUCAGCCUCCCAAGUAGCUGGGAUUACAGACCCAUCAAGCCUUCAGAUAAGACUGCAGCCUCAUUACAGACCUUGAACUGGAGGCAGCCAGCUGAGUCACACCUGGAUUCCUGACCCUUAGAAACUAUGAGAUAAUAAAUGUUUACAGUUUUAAGCCACUAAGUUUCG